AACAGUGCGCAUGUCGCGGGGGGGAUGUGCGCUUGCGCGUUAAAGGAUGUGACGGCCUUUGCCUGUAGAAGAGGGAAAAAGAGAAGAAAGAAUGUGUGAGAGUGGUCGUGAUUGUGUGUACACGAGAGAAUGAUGCAUGUUUAUGAGAAGUUAGAUUUCAACACACUUGAAGGCAAUGUGAACUCAGGAGGGAGCAAACCCAUGUUGGCCGCCGCCCAUGCUUCAGUCACAGAGGAAGCUAUAUGACGGCUGACGGUGAAGCGGUCUCUUCCCUGGCUGGAACUAGGAGAGCUGACAGCUGUCAAACCAGGAGUAGCAUUUUGAUUAUGGUGCUGAGGGUAGAGGGGUUGGGUUCCUCCCCCGGUGCAAGACUAGGAUAUCCCAUAAUAGGUCUUCACCGAGUUCUGUCCCUGCUCUGAUGCAGCGAGGGACCUGGGACCUUCCAGAUGUUGUUACACUACAACUGCUAUCAACCCCACCUAGCAUAUCCAGUCAAUAUCUGGAGGUCACCAGGUUCUCCCCUGCCUUUUGGUCACCCUCUGGGGUUCAUUGUCAAUCUCUUUUUGAGAUAACUUCUGUUUUAUAUUCUUGCCUGAAUUGGAAUACAAUCCUUAGUGGUUAUGUUUACAGAGGCUUAUAUCAUGUUGCUUUACAGAAGAAUUGCAAAGUUAUUUUCAUAAAUGAUAUCUGCAGCAGCAACAUAGUUUAUAUGCAUUGUAACCUGAAUCCACGCACAAAGAGAAGCUCUCCAAAUAGGUGCCACUGAUGAAGACUUGAAUCAAGUCGAAACGGUGCCAAAGUAACUUAACCUGCCUUGGGUACUGUGCACCUUGACUUUGUGGAGGAGAAGCACACCAUUUGCUGUUCCACCUCUUAUCUGGCAAUAGAAAUGUCUUCGGCUGGCCCUGACUUUAAUCAUGAUACAUCAGACUUUCUACCAAGUCAUCUUGCCAAUAAAUGUUUGUUCAAGUCCUGCUUGUGGGCUUCUUCACUGUCCAACCUCUCUUCUAUCUCCCUGUCUCCUCUUCUUCCUCCUCUUCUUUCUCUUUCCUUUCUUCCUCUCCUCUUUCCCACCCCCUUUCUUUAUUGAUGUCAUUAUAUUUAUUUAUUUUCAAAUUGUAUUGAAAUUGUCUUUUUUCAAUGUUGGACAUCAUGUCCCCUUAUUUCAUGGAUUUGAAAACCUUUACAAUAAACAAUUUGUUUAUUUAAAAAGAA